GGGCCCGCACAAGCGGUGGAGCAUGUGGUUUAAUUCGAAGCAACGCGAAGAACCUUACCAAGGCUUGACAUCCCGAUGCCGCACAUAGAGAUAUGUGUUUUCUUCGGAACAUCGGUGACAGGUGGUGCAUGGUUGUCGUCAGCUCGUGUCGUGAGAUGUUGGGUUAAGUCCCGCAACGAGCGCAACCCUUAUCUUUAGUAGCCAGCAGUAAGAUGGGCACUCUAAAGAGACUGCCGUGGAUAACACGGAGGAAGGUGGGGAUGACGUCAAAUCAUCAUGCCCCUUAUGUCUUGGGCAACACACGUGCUACAAUGGACGGAACAAAGUGAAGCAAAGCCGCGAGGUGGAGCGAAGCACAAAAAUCCGUUCUCAGUUCGGAUUGUAGUCUGCAACUCGACUACAUGAAGCUGGAAUCGCUAGUAAUCGCGAAUCAGAAUGUCGCGGUGAAUACGUUCCCGGGCCUU
rnacentral:rRNA from 1 species